rnacentral:sRNA from 1 species
UAUUUGCGUUAGCGAUUGCAACGGCAUCCUUUUUUAACUUGAGAACUAAAAACUUUGUCUAGCACUAUAAAUUUACAGAUUGCCAUGCCGUGCCUCCUCGCAAUGACAUUUUAAAAAAGAUAUAGUGGAAAGCGCGCCCCCUU